rnacentral:rRNA from 1 species
UACGAGGGGGGCAAGCGUUGUUCGGAAUUAUUGGGCGUAAAGGGCGCGUAGGCGGUGCGGUAAGUCUGUUGUGAAAUCUCCGGGCUCAACUCGGAGUCUGCAUCAGAAACUGCCGUGCUCGAGUGUGGGAGAGGUGAGUGGAAUUCCCGGUGUAGCGGUGAAAUGCGUAGAUAUCGGGAAGAACACCCGUGGCGAAGGCGGCUCUCUGGAACGCAACUGACGCUGAGACGCGAAAGCGUGGGGUGCAAACAGG